rnacentral:rRNA from 1 species
UGGGGAAUAUUGCACAAUGGGGGGAACCCUGAUGCAGCCAUGCCGCGUGAAUGAAGAAGGCCUUCGGGUUGUAAAGUUCUUUCGGUGACGAGGAAGGUUGAUAGGUUAAUAGCCUAUCAAAUUGACGUUAAUCACAGAAGAAGCACCGGCUAACUCCGUGCCAGCAGCCGCGGUAAUACGGGGGGUGCGAGCGUUAAUCGGAAUAACUGGGCGUAAAGGGCACGCAGGCGGUGACUUAAGUGAGAUGUGAAAGCCCCGAGCUUAACUUGGGAAUUGCAUUUCAUACUGGGUCGCUAGAGUACUUUAGGGAGGGGUAGAAUUCCACGUGUAGCGGUGAAAUGCGUAGAGAUGUGGAGGAAUACCGAAGGCGAAGGCAGCCCCUUGGGAAUGUACUGACGCUCAUGUGCGAAAGCGUGGGGAGCAAACAGGAUUAGAUACCCUGGUAGUCCACGCUGUAAACGAUGUCGAUUUGGGGAUUGGGCUUUGAGCUUGGUGCCCGUAGCUAACGUGAUAAAUCGACCGCCUGGGGAGUACGGCCGCAAGGUUA